rnacentral:tRNA from 1 species
GCGAGCGUAGUUCAACGGUAGAACAGCACUCCUUUGAGUUGCUAACUAACUACUUACAGAUGCAGGUUCGACUCCUGCCGCUCGUU